UUUCCUACGGGGGGCUGCAGUGGGGAAUAUUGGACAAUGGGGGAAACCCUGAUCCAGCAAUGCCGCGUGAAUGAAGAAGGCCUUAGGGUUGUAAAGUUCUUUCACCUGUGACGAUAAUGACGGUAGCAGGAGAAGAAGCCCCGGCUAACUCCGUGCCAGCAGCCGCGGUAAGACGGAGGGGGCUAGCGUUGUUCGGAAUGACUGGGCGUAAAGGGCGCGUAGGCGGUUUUUUAAGUUAGGCGUGAAAGGCCUGGGCUUAACCCAGGAGGUGCGUUUAAGACUGGAAAACUUGAGUGUGAGAGAGGAAAAUGGAAUUCCUAGUGUAGAGGUGAAAUUCGUAGAUAUUAGGAAGAACACCCGUGGCGAAGGCGGUUUUCUGGCUCACAACUGACGCUGAGGCGCGAAAGCGUGGGGAGCAAACAGGAUUAGAUACCCGGGUAGUCCGC
rnacentral:rRNA from 1 species